GUCCACGCCGUAAACGAUGGAUACUAGCUGUUGGGGGCAACUUCAGUGGCUAAGCGAAAGUGAUAAGUAUCCCACCUGGGGAGUACGUUCGCAAGAAUGAAACUCAAAGGAAUUGACGGGGGCCCGCACAAGCGGUGGAGCAUGUGGUUUAAUUCGAUGAUACGCGAGGAACCUUACCAAGGCUUAAAUGUAGAUUGACAGGACUGGAAACAGUUUUUUCUCGGACAAUUUACAAGGUGCUGCAUGGUUGUCGU
rnacentral:rRNA from 1 species